GAAUGAUGACUAAUGCUUUGAGGAAACAGCAGACGUCAGACAGCAAGCCCAGAAAAACCUGCCAGCACCAAGAGGGUGUCCUCAACAGGCGCCUGGGGGACAUAUUAUUCUAACUAAAGAGACCAGAGCUUCCCCAGGAAGGGAAGAGGAGAGAAAUGAAGAACGUCUGUGUUCAUGUUUGCCAAAAACAAAAGUCUGAGAAAUCUCUGAGAGACUCUACAUGGGAGCAUCAAGCACAAAUGAUGAUCUCCUAGGACAGUGGCAGCUUCUGAGAAUGCACAGGAAAGUGACCAGGGAAAGAAUGAUUCCAUCUCCAGGAAUCCCUGGUGAUCUUCAGAGCCCAGACAGGACCCUGCUGGGCCAUGGUAACUGAGAAACUGAGAAGCAGAUACAGUGGUCCCUAUGUUGGCAACCUCAG
rnacentral:lncRNA from 1 species